UGGGGAAUAUUGGACAAUGGGCGCAAGCCUGAUCCAGCCAUGCCGCGUGAGUGAAGAAGGCCUUCGGGUUGUAAAGCUCUUUCGGCGGGGACGAAACGGUUCGUGACAACACCACGGACUAAUGACGGUACCCGCAUAAGAAGCACCGGCUAACUACGUGCCAGCAGCCGCGGUAAUACGUAGGGUGCGAGCGUUAAUCGGAAUUACUGGGCGUAAAGCGUGCGCAGGCGGUUCGCCAAGUCAGGUGUGAAAUCCCCGGGCUUAACCUGGGAAUUGCGCUUGAAACUAGCGGGCUUGAGUGUGGCAGAGGGGGGUGGAAUUCCACGUGUAGCAGUGAAAUGCGUAGAGAUGUGGAGGAACACCGAUGGCGAAGGCAGCCCCCUGGGUCAACACUGACGCUCAUGCACGAAAGCGUGGGGAGCAAACAGGAUUAGAUACCCCCGUAGUCCCUGAGCGGGCUGGCAAGGCGCAU
rnacentral:rRNA from 1 species